rnacentral:rRNA from 2 species
GCAACAGCUCAAAUUUGAAAUCUGGCGCAAGCCCGAGUUGUAAUUUGCAGAGGAUGUUUCGGGUGAAGCCACGGUCCAAGUCCCUUGGAACAGGACGUCAUAGAGGGUGAGAACCCCGUACCUGGCCGUCGGUGCCCCCCGCUGUGAAACUCCUUCGACGAGUCGAGUUGUUUGGGAAUGCAGCUCUAAAUUGGUGGUAAAUUCCAUCUAAAGCUAAAUACCGGCCAGAGACCGAUAGCGCACAAGUAGAGUGAUCGAAAGAUGAAAAGCACUUUGAAAAGAGAGUUAAAAAGUACGUGAAAUUGUUGAAAGGGAAGCGCUUGCGGCCAGACUUGCCCGCGGUUGCUCAGCCCGCCUUUUGGCGGGUGCACUCUUCCGCGGUCAGGCCAGCAUCGGUUUGGGCGGUCGGAUAAAGGCGCCGGGAACGUGGCCUCCCCUCGGGGAGGUGUUAUAGCCCGGCGCGCAAUGCGGCCAGCCCGGACCGAGGUUCGCGCUUUGCUAGGAUGCUGGCGUAAUGGCCGUAAGCGGCCCGUCUUGAAACACGGACCAAGGAGUCUAACAUCUAUGCGAGUGUUUGGGUGUCAAACCCGUGCGCGUAAUGAAAGUGAACGGAGGUGGGAACCGCAAGGUGCACCAUCGACCGAUCCUGAUGUCUUCGGAAGGAUUUGAGUAAGAGCAUAGCUGUUGGGACCCGAAAGAUGGUGAACUAUGCGUGAAUAGGGUGAAGCCAGAGGAAACUCUGGUGGAGGCUCGCAGCGGUUCUGACGUGCAAAUCGAUCGUCAA